UACAGAGGUCUCGAGCGUUGUUCGGAUUCAUUGGGCGUAAAGGGCGCGUAGGCGGCGGGGUAAGUCUGGUGUGAAAGUCACAGGCUCAACCUGUGAAUGCCGCUGGAAACUGUCUGGCUAGAGUCCGGAAGGGGCGAGUGGAAUUCCUGGUGUAGCGGUGAAAUGCGCAGAUAUCAGGAGGAACACCUAUGGCGAAGGCAGCUCGCUGGGACGGUACUGACGCUGAGGCGCGAAAGCGUGGGGAGCGAACAGG
rnacentral:rRNA from 1 species